UGUAGCCGGCCCUAGCUUUUCCUCGCGCCCCUGCUCUCCCUCCUCCUGCGCAUCCACGAAACCGGUGCUGCCGCCGGCCACCAGGAGCGUCGUCGCCCUUCUGUGCAUCUCCUGCCGCAACACUGCCAACCCCUGCCGGCCUCCUCGUCGCCUUGCCCAGGCCGCUCCUGCCCCUGCGCGCCGCCAGCAGCAGCUGCUGCAGCCGUUCCCUUUCCCCCGUCCUCCUGCACGGCCCCUGCAUCACCAUCACCGUCACCCCUGGCCCCUGCUGCUCGCGCCCCUGCUGCUGCUGCCAGCGCCGCCGUCGCCUAGCCCCCGGCGUCGCCCUGUACCCGUGCUGCGCUGCGCGCCCUGCACUUCCCCCCCUGCACCACGCUGCCCUACAGCCCCGCUGUCAUCCCCUGCAAGCUGCACGCACAGAAUCGCCCAGAAACAGAUGAACAGAACAGACCUGACAUUGCUGUUUUCUCUCGCGAAAUUCGAUCGCCUCGAUGCAUCUCCGCUGCGGCAAGCUCCCGUGCAGCAGCCAUGGAGGAACUCGAGAUCUUGCAAUCCAGUCCCUGGAGAAAGAUAAGGAGCGUGAUCCAAGAGCUUUGAAGAUAUAGAGUUUCAAG